rnacentral:rRNA from 1 species
UACGUAGGGGGGCUAGCGUUGUCCGGAUUUAUUGGGCGUAAAGAGCGUGUAGGCGGCCAGGUAGGUCUGGUGUGAAAACUCGAGGCUUAACCUCGAGAUGUCAUCGGAAACCAUUUGGCUAGAGUCCGGAAGAGGAGAGUGGAAUUCCUGGUGUAGCGGUGAAAUGCGCAGAUAUCAGGAGGAACACCAAUAGCGAAGGCAGCUGCGCUGGGACGGUACUGACACUAAGGCGCGAAAGCGUGGGGGAGCGAACGAGGA